UAAGUGCGAUAAGUAAUGUGAAUUGCAGAAUACCGUGAAUCAUCGAAUCUUUGAACGCAUAUUGCACUCUCUGGAAUUCCGGAGAGUAUGCCUGUUUGAGGGUCAGUUAAAAAAAAUCAAGCGUUAUUGCUUUUGUGGUGACGUUUGGAUUUGAGUCGUCUUAACCUUUCGGUCAAGUGACUUAAAAUUUUAACAUGAUUUUCGAAACGUAUUUAAUAUUUUUACGUACGUUUGCGAUAUCAAUCUAUUAGAUGUGGUCAUCUUCCAUGAUUCGCGUCUAUAGUUUCUCAUUAAAUGACCUCAAAUCAGGUAAGAAUACCCGCUGAACUUAAGC
rnacentral:misc_RNA from 1 species